GCUGUUUUCCCCUGCCCCUUACUUCCGAAGGACUGCGGCUUUGACCCGUUCCGCCCCUCUGUGGGAGGGUCUCACCGAGCAAUGGCCGAAUGAGCAAUGGCCGAAUAUCAGCUGCACCCAGGAACACUUGCUGGACCCUGCUGCUGCUGGUACCCCGAGACUGGCCAGGUGCCAGCCCGCCCCAGAAAACGUUCGCAAGACAGUGUUGGUGCAGCGUUUCAGGGAUGAUGGAAAAUCACAACACACACCUGGCACCAGGCUUCACCCUUAAAGACCUUGUUCCAGCACCAGCGAAUGUGGCCGCCUUCCGGGGUCUGCUGGGACCCGGUGGCUUCAACGGUCUUUACCAAGUGUCCUUCCAGCAGUGGAACCGCUUUUCCCCGUGUGGCCCGAGAACCUCCCGGACCCCAGUCUGUUCCUGGGGAUUCGCCCUUCCCACCAGAGCACCGCCAGUUGUGUUCCUAUGAAAACUCUAACUGCACUGAAACAUUCCAGAUGCAGCAAAACUUACUUUCAACUUCAAAUUGAAGAAAUACUAGUUUUCUAGCAGAACGCUACCCUGCCUCCUACGAACAUAAAAGGCAGCAAAGAAGCAACCACACCUGCGCCCGAUAGCACUGGCACCACACGCCCCGUACCCUGGAAAACCCGGUCUCCGAGGGCAUCUGCAGACGACUCGGGAAGGGCCUCCUUCCACACUCACACGCGGAGAAACGCUGCAUGGAGGUCCGUUCCCCUCUGGGCCACUCACAGAUUGCAGUGGCAUCCAAGAGCUUCUCAGAGGCCUGCGGCAAAAACUGUGCUGCUUUAUUUAAAGCGGCAUUUCUCACACUUACUAAAGCUCAGGACUCCUUUACAGAGGAGCGCGAGUUAGCAUCUCAGGAGAUACAACAGUUUCAUGGAGCCGUUUGAGAAAACUCUCAAUUAAUCUCAGAGUCAGAAUGGAAUCAUUUCAUUCAAAGAUAUUUCUUGUAUAUGCACAUGAAAAAGGCACUGCUUCCCUGGAGCUGAAAUAUUCAAAUAGGGUUUCUGCUGCCAGGUGAAUUUUCUUACGCCUUCUAACCCAGGUAACUUCCAAGGCUCCUCUGCUCAAUAAAACCUCUUCCAGCAACUCUGUGUCCCCUCCCUACUCGGUGCAAGAGAGUCAAGUUCUAGGAGGUGAGGCCCUUCCUUGUUGCCAGGACCACUGGGCGCCGGAGGCGCGGACAAGGGAAACCCUGGGCUUUUGAAUCCAACGCUUGAGCAACCGCACCGUGUAGUCAAAGCAAACCUGGAAUCGACUUCAAAAAGCUCACAAACAGCCUUGAGAGGUUAUGAGCUGGGCGAUAAAUCAUGUGCAGUAGCUGUCACCACUGACACCUGCUGAUCGGUGACCUGCUCAGCAAGUUUAAAGAACUCUGAGUUUCUUGGUUAAAAAAAAAUAAUCUAAAACUAGGCUCCAAAUGAGGACUUCUGCUCCUUGUAUGCUCUUCAACAGGAGAGGGAGCACUAGGGAGGACUCCACGGGCCUGGACACAUUGCCGGGGCAGGCCUAUCUGCAGGGAGCACACGGCCUGCUUCGCUAUCCUUUAGAAAAUUCUGGGGGUGCCUGGGUGGCUUGGUUAAGCAUCCGACCUUGGCACAGGUCAUGACCUCACGGUCAGUGGGUUCGAGCCCCGAGUCAGGCUCUGUGCGCACAGCUCGGAGCCUGGAGCCUUCUUCGGAUUCUGUGUCUCCCUGUCUCUCUGCUCUUCCCCUGCUCAUGCUCUGUUUCUCUCUCUCUCUCUCUCUCAAAAACAAAUCCACAUUAAAAAUUUUAAGAAAAUUCUGAUAGCCACAGCAUGGUUUCAGCUCUUCCGCAGAGGCACUUGGAGCCCGGGGCCCCUAGAGGCGUCACCUGCUUUCUCGGGAAGCACCGGGUCAAGGGGCCUUUCUGCCCUGGGCCUCAGGGAGGGUUUUCCUGCUCCCGGUCCCUCCCAGAGGGUGUUGCUUUUGCGAGUAGCACCCACAUUCUUUUUUCCCCUUAUCAACUUUUUUUUUUUUCUUCCCAUAGGGGGAAUAGAGCCUCGGACCCAGUACCUGCAGGUCCUGUGAGUACAGACCCCUCUUGGCGCCCGGGCCAAUAUUUACAAGGUGGUGGCAAAGACUUCUGCUAAGAACCCUUGAAAAAACUCAGGGAAAGGGGAUUUGCCAACCGUGUCACAGACUCAGAAGUUUAAGAGUAUCGCAGAUCACUGAAAAAGGGUCUGAUUGAAGUGAGAGCUGAUAUUCAAGAAUUGAAUCUCUAGUCUGAAGAGAGGCAGGGUUUUAACCAGGGACCCUUCAGUCUUCCUUGUGGGGACUCCACCCCCCCCCCCCCCCCCACAGGGCUGGCAUCAUCCAUCUCCCAAAGCUCAGAAGUGACCUACGAACUAAAACUAUGAAUCGUAUUUCUAUAAUUGAAAGUAAAGAAAUCAAAAACAAAAAUAACUAAACUCCGGAAAUAUAAUCGCUUAACCAUUUCUUUGUAUUUUUAUUGAACUUUCUUGAAUUUUUUUUUUUUUUUAAUUUCUGCCCAGUCAUGACAAUUAAGUGGGAAACCACAACGACAAUUUACAAACUGUGGCAUGAAAAAGAACACACACCCCAUCAGGAGUUAUACCAAACCCUUUCCUUUUUAUUCAUUCAAAAGAGUCCAACGCACAAAUGUCAAAUAUGAGCACUGUCAUUUUUUUUCUUGGAAGGGGGAAAAACAUUUAUUCUGGCAGCACUUUUACAAUUCCAGGAAGCGGUUUUGAUACCAUUGGUUGCAAGAAUAGAAACCAUAACAGACUUGAAGGGCGUUUGUUUGCCAGGCGAGGGCUACUUGGUCUGGAAAGACUCCCCCUUGUGCUUUGGGAACUGCCCGUCCACCUCGGCUGGCCGAGCCUUCCCAGGUAUGGAAAGAGAAAA